rnacentral:rRNA from 1 species
CCCUUAGAUGUUCUGGGCCGCACGCGCGCUACACUGUUCGACGCAUCGAGUCUUAACCUUGACCGAAAGGUUUGGGUAAUCUUCAGCAAAGUCGAACGUGAUGGGGAUCGAUCAUUGCAAUUAUUGAUCGUGAACGAGGAAUUCCUAGUAAGUGCAAGUCAUCAGCUUGCGCUGAUUACGUCCCUGCCCUUUGUACACACCGCCCGUCGCUACUACCGAUUGAAUGGUUUAGUGAGAUCUCUGGAUUGACGCUGGCUAGGGGGCGACCCUUGGCCAGACUGUUGAGAAACUGCUCAAACUUGAUCAUUUAGAGGAAGUAAAAGUCGUAACA